GAUGAACGNUAGCGGCAGGCNUAAUACAUGCAAGUCGAACGAUAGUUGGGGCUUGCCCCCAACGAAAAAGUGGCGCACGGGUGCGUAACGCGUAUGCAACCUGCCCUCAUCUGGGGGAUAGCCCGGAGAAAUCCGGAUUAAUACCGCAUAAAAUCACAGCACGGCAUUGUGCAAUGAUCAAACAUUUAUGGGAUGGGGAUGGGCAUGCGUGUCAUUAGCUAGUUGGCGGGGUAACGGCCCACCAAGGCGACGAUGACUAGGGGAUCUGAGAGGAUGGCCCCCCACACUGGUACUGAGACACGGACCAGACUCCUACGGGAGGCAGCAGUAGGGAAUCUUGCGCAAUGGGCGAAAGCCUGACGCAGCCAUGCCGCGUGAAUGAUGAAGGUCUUAGGAUUGUAAAAUUCUUUCACCGGGGACGAUAAUGACGGUACCCGGAGAAGAAGCCCCGGCUAACUUCGUGCCAGCAGCCGCGGUAAUACGAAGGGGGCUAGCGUUGCUCGGAAUUACUGGGCGUAAAGGGAGCGUAGGCGGAUAGUUUAGUCAGAGGUGAAAGCCCAGGGCUCAACCUUGGAACUGCCUUUGAUACUGGCUAUCUUGAGUACGGGAGAGGUGUGUGGAACUCCGAGUGUAGAGGUGAAAUUCGUAGAUAUUGGGAAGAACACCGGUGGCGAAGGCGGCCAUCUGGCCCGUAAUUGACGCUGAGGCGCGAAAGCGUGGGGAGCAAACAGGAUUAGAUACCCUGGUAGUCCACGCCGUAAACGAUGAGUGCUAGACGUCGGGGAGCUUGCUCUUCGGUGUCGCCGCUAACGCAUCAAGCACUCCGCCUGGGGAGUACGGCCGCAAGGCUAAAACUCAAAGGAAUUGACGG
rnacentral:rRNA from 1 species